UUACUAAUAGCAUAAAAUAAUGCAUUGAGCUUAGAACUCAAUAUAGAAAAUAGUAAA
rnacentral:tRNA from 1 species